rnacentral:tRNA from 1 species
UGUGAAGUGCCUGAUCUGAAAGGGUAAUUUUGAUAGAAUUAAUCAUGUGUUUACACCUUCAUAA